GAUGAACGCUGGCGGCGUGCUUAACACAUGCAAGUCGAACGGAAAGGCCCAAGAUUGCUUGGGUACUCGGGUGGCGAACGGGUGAGUAACACGUGGGUGAUCUGCCCUGCACUUCGGGAUAAGCCUGGGAAACUGGGUCUAAUACUGGAUAGGACCACUUCUUGGAUGUUGUGGUGGAAAGUUUUUUCGGUGUGGGAUGAGCUCGCGGCCUAUCAGCUUGUUGGUGGGGUAAUGGCCUACCAAGGCGUCGACGGGUAGCCGGCCUGAGAGGGUGUACGGCCACAUUGGGACUGAGAUACGGCCCAGACUCCUACGGGAGGCAGCAGUGGGGAAUAUUGCACAAUGGGCGCAAGCCUGAUGCAGCGACGCCGCGUGGGGGAUGACGGCCUUCGGGUUGUAAACUCCUUUCGCUAGGGACGAAGCGUUUUGUGACGGUACCUGGAGAAGAAGCACCGGCUAACUACGUG
rnacentral:rRNA from 1 species